UAUGGAGAAUUCCCAGAAUGGAAACCAAUGAAAGUCAGAAACUAUUUAGCCUCAGAGAGCCAUGUCUAUACCACUAAAAGGGGAAAGAAGGUAGAUUUCUGCCAGCAACAAUGAAGCAAACAAAGUCAAACUCAGGCUAAAUUCUAGAAAUCCUGAAAAUAUGGCUUGUCAGCACAUAAGAAGAUAAGUGAAGAUCAUCAGGAUUCUAGAAUUCCCUAAAAAUAAAUUAUGCCAAACCAAGCUUAUUCCUGAUUAUGAUACAUUUAAUGGAUUCUUAAUGGUCUGAAUUAAAUUGAAUGCUAUAGAUGUCCCCUAUCUAGAUUCAGCAAGGCUAGGCUUUUUAAAAAUCUCUUAUAAUGCUCUUGUGGAUAAAUAUAAAAAAAAAAAAGUGGGCACUGUACAUUCAUAUAUAGUUUAAUGACAGAGUCCAAAGAGAAUUAAUGAAUCUCUGCCCAUCUGGUAGAAGAUCUCUAGUUCCGUAAAGCUUUGGUGUUCAAUUCUGUCCUGAUCACUACUGUAAUCAAGGGAUUGCAUGUCUUUCAAAUUGGAGAAAGCACAAAGCAAAGAAUACUAAUAUACUGGAUAACAGAAUCAGAAUCUAAAAGACCCACAAUAAUGUAAAUUCCUAAAUUCAAGUUUAAAAAAAAAAAAAACCCAAAACUUUAACUUCAAGCA